AGGCUGGAUAAGAUAAGAAAAAAUGAGGA
rnacentral:piRNA from 1 species